rnacentral:rRNA from 1 species
CGGGGUGAGUAAUGUCUGGGAAACUGCCUGAUGGAGGGGGAUAACUGCUGGAAACGGUGGCUAAUACCGCAUAACGUCGCAAGACCAAAGAGGGGGACCUUCGGGCCUCUUGCCAUCGGAUGUGCCCAGAUGGGAUUAGCUAGUAGGUGGGGUAACGGCUCACCUAGGCGACGAUCCCUAGCUGGUCUGAGAGGAUGGCCAGCCACACUGGAACUGAGACACGGUCCAG